rnacentral:rRNA from 1 species
UGCCAGCAGCCGCGGUAAUACGUAGGGGGCGAGCGUUGUCCGGAAUCAUUGGGCGUAAAGGGCUCGUAGGCGGCUUAGUAAGUCGGCCGUGAAAACCCAGGGCUCAACCCUGGGACGCCGGUCGAUACUGCUAUGGCUUGGGUCCGGUAGAGGAGAGUGGAAUUCCCGGUGUAGCGGUGAAAUGCGCAGAUAUCGGGAGGAACACCAGUAGCGAAGGCGGCUCUCUGGGCCGGUACCGACGCUGAGGAGCGAAAGCGUGGGGAGCAAACAGGAUUAGAUA